GUGGAAUAUAGGCUAGAAGGGUAUAUUGAAGCCAAAUUAAAGAAGGAUGUGAAGGUUAGGCUAAGAAGUGUGAUGAGCUUUAUUUAGGUAAUAGGCAAUGAGGAGAAAUUGAAACAUGAAGGAACAUAAUUUGAGGUGUGAUUAUUUGAGUUUUUAAAAUAUUAUCACUGUGCAUCAGAAUGGGUUAGGGAAGGCUUAAAUCCUGGAUGCUGGCUCAGCACCUAUUAGAGCAAUUAAAAUGAGAAAUGAUGCAGACUAAACUAGAAUUUCAGGUAAAAAUGGGAAAAAUAGGCGUUAAAAAAUGGUAUAAACGUUAAAAAACUACACUUGACUGAGUUAGAAUAUGGAGGAAAAGGAAGUAUGGAGAUCAAAAGAAAACAUCAGGAUUUGGGAGCUUGGACACAGGUUUUGCUUUUCCAUCUUUUAUGGAGUAUGAUUUACUUUCAAAUCGCCUCUGAAGAAACCUAUUAGUCAGUCAACUGCAGAAAAACUUCUCCAUAAUAUCUACCUGGAAUAUAUCUUGCUUCCAUUCACCUUCUUCCUUUGUCAAUGACUCUCAGGAGGAAUACAGUCUUUGUCAGUCAUAAAGGAAGGAAGAGUCAAUGACAUAGGAUCCCAAACACGGCUAAAAUGUCUCAUAUCUAAUGCUGUACUCCCCCUCUUAACCAAAAUUUGUGUCAGGAAAAGGCACAAAACUCCACCAAAGGAUUACGGUACCUUAAUCCAAGGAAGUUGUAUAGAGGCUAGUAUUUAAAAUUGUCAUUUUGAUAGGCCCCACUAGUGGAUUUUAUCCCCUGUUAGGUUGGACAAUCCUCAGUAUAUACACCUUACUACACAAAGAGGGGUUCUUGCUGUAUGGCUCACGCUGCUCUUGAACUGCUGGUCUCAAGCGAUCGUCCUGCCUAGGCCUUCCAAAGUGCUGAGAUUACAGGUGUGACCUAUCACACUGGGCCUCAGCUUCACUCUUGAAAUACAUUUUGCUGGUUAUUUGACUUCUAGUUGGCAGCCAUUUAGCUUCAGCACAUUAAAGAUAUUACAUUCUAUACUGGCUGUCAUUUUUUAAAAUUUUGAAUAUUUGGACAGAGAGAAUAAUGAAACACACUGAAGUUUCUUAAUUUCCACCCGGAAACCGCACUGCCAAAAUACGAACUAUUUUAGUGACUACACAAACACAGAUAUAAACUUUUACCCUCUACAAUAUUUAAAUCCCUUAAAGGGGUUGGUGAAUUUUUUCUAUAAAGGGACACAUAGUAAAUAUAUUCAGCUAUACAAGCCAUCUGGCCUCUGUUGCAACAACUCAACUUUGCUAUUGCAGUGCAAAAGGAGCCAUAGACAAAACUAAAUGAAUGGGC
rnacentral:lncRNA from 1 species